GAGUGGCGAACGGGUGAGUAACACGUGGGCAACCUGCCCAAAAGAGGGGGAUAACACUUGGAAACAGGUGCUAAUACCGCAUAACCAUAGUUACCGCAUGGUAACUAUGUAAAAGGUGGCUAUGCUACCGCUUUUGGAUGGGCCCGCGGCGCAUUAGCUAGUUGGUGGGGUAAAGGCUUACCAAGGCAAUGAUGCGUAGCCGAACUGAGAGGUUGAUCGGCCACAUUGGGACUGAGACACGGCCCAAACUCCUACGGGAGGCAGCAGUAGGGAAUCUUCCACAAUGGGCGAAAGCCUGAUGGAGCAACGCCGCGUGGGUGAAGAAGGUCUUCGGAUCGUAAAACCCUGUUGUUAGAGAAGAAAGUGCGUGAGAGUAACUGUUCACGUUUCGACGGUAUCUAACCAGAAAGCCACGGCUAACUACGUGCCAGCAGCCGCGGUAAUACGUAGGUGGCAAGCGUUAUCCGGAUUUAUUGGGCGUAAAGGGAACGCAGGCGGUCUUUUAAGUCUGAUGUGAAAGCCUUCGGCUUAACCGGAGUAGUGCAUUGGAAACUGGGAGACUUGAGUGCAGAAGAGGAGAGUGGAACUCCAUGUGUAGCGGUGAAAUGCGUAGAUAUAUGGAAGAACACCAGUGGCGAAAGCGGCUCUCUGGUCUGUAACUGACGCUGAGGUUCGAAAGCGUGGGUAGCAAACAGGAUUAGAUACCCUGGUAGUCCACGCCGUAAA
rnacentral:rRNA from 1 species